rnacentral:misc_RNA from 1 species
AAAAUGCGAUAAUUGGUGUGAAUUGCAGAAUCCCGUGAACCAUCGAGUUUUUGAACGCACGUUGCGCCCGAAGCCAUCCGGCUGAGGGCACGCCUGCCUGGGCGUCACGCAUCGCGUCGCUCCCCACCAUACCUCCCCAACGGGUUGGCAUCGUGUUGGGGGCGGAUAAUGGCCUCCCGUGCUUGUGUUUCGGUUGGCCUAAAUAAGAGUUCCCUUCGGCGGACACACGACUAGUGGUGGUUGAAUAGACCCUCGUCUUUUGUUGCGUGUCGUGAGCUGUAAGGGUAGCCCUCAUCAAAGACCCCAUUGUAUCGUCUUCGGAUGAUGCUUCGACCGCGACCCCAGGUCAGGCGGGACUACCCGCUGAGUUUAAGC